rnacentral:rRNA from 1 species
UACGUAGGGUGCAAGCGUUGUCCGGAAUUAUUGGGCGUAAAGAGCUCGUAGGCGGUCUGUCGCGUCUGCUGUGAAAACUCGGGGCUUAACCCCGGGCCUGCAGUGGGUACGGGCAGACUAGAGUGCGGUAGGGGAGACUGGAAUUCCUGGUGUAGCAGUGAAAUGCGUAGAUAUCAGGAGGAAUACCGAUGGCGAAGGCAGGUCUCUGGGCUGACACUGACGCUCAUGCACGAAAGCGUGGGGGAGCAAACAGGAU